CAGGAGAGAGAGAAGAUAAGACGGAGAGAGAGAAGGAGGAGAGGAGGGAGAGGAAAGGAGGUGCGGUGGCAGGGAAAUCGUCGUCGGAUGCGUCCUAUAUGUGAUGGGUGUGUUCCCAUCAAGUCGAUGGUGGGGUUGAUGUGCCCGUCGAUUCGGUGAUCCGCUGGCUGAGCUCGUCUUCUCAGUGGCGGACUUGUGUUCUAUGGUAGUCGGAGCCAUUGUAUGUGGUUAUGCAGUUGCUGAUGUACAGGAGGCAUCCGUGGUGUCAGUUCUUCAUCGUCCAUGCUUAUCUUCUAUAUGCUCUAGCAGCCAGCAGGAUUUAAUUGAUGGAGUCCUGCUGCUAAAGGACGUGAACAGGAAGUCCUAUCGCUGGAUGUUUACUGUCCGAAUUGCAAGGAUCUGGGAAUACAUGAGUACAGACCCUAUCAAAUUCUAUAGCUCUAUUCAUUGGCACACCAGUUGAUCAAUUUUGAGCUUUCAUAUCUACUUUGGACACCAGGUGGCACAUCAACAUUAUGUACCUGAAGCGAUCGCUACAGAAGAAAGGCGAUAACGGCGCCACGAGGAUUCGCUGCCGUGAGGAGGACCCCGACCCGUAUGAUGGCCACCGGAAGGUCACACACUUCUUUGGCUCGCUCAGACUGGCUCCAUUGACGACUUCUCUAUGGUAUCUUCUUGUGCAGCUUCAUACCUGCUUGUGUGUCUUGCAAAAAAGUAAGCUACCUGGUACCUCUCUACUCUGCUUUAGCAGGCGUUUGCAGAGGAAGCCAAGUGAUACAUGAUACUGGUGUAUUUGUUGGGUUCCUCUUGGCGUGUUGAACAAAAAUUGGUGGUCAGCACUGCUAUUUAAAGUUGGUUUGAUCAGUACUAGGGAAAACCCAUAUAUGGAAGGAAAUUAUUGUAGGUAUCUAAGAAUGCUGAUGAUUACACUCGGAGAAAGCCUUGUCACGGCGCUGCAAGUGUUGCCCCCCUCCUCCCCAAGGGCAAGGUGAAGGAAGGUGCGUGUGUGGUUCUUCUGCAGCUCGCAGCGAGGAUUGCGUGUCCAACCUGCACAAGAAUGCCAAGAAGUCCUUCUCGGAGACGAUUAAGGACAUGUACCUGCACUACAACGAGAGAUCCGGGAUGCUUUUUUGUGGCUUCCAAACUUGAAAUGUUUGUUUGUAAGUUAGUUUAUUUUUUUUGUGGAUUCACAGCUUCUCACAUGUACCAUCCUCUUAGACCUUUAUAUUUCCAAAGAAACUAAACGAAGAUAUGGUGGUAUGGUCUCAACAGUACAACUUGAAGCCUUCCAUGCUUUAUAUUUGCUCUAAAAUUUGCUCUUGAAGAAUCAUGUAUCUAUGUUAAAUCCGGUGAGAAAAAGCGGCUUCCAAGCAGA